GGAGCUGCCGUGUGUUCUGACUGCACUCCAGCUCUAAUCAGAAGUGAAAACACCUGUGCAAAGGAGCCGGGACAGGAUAUACUGUGUCUGAAGACACAAACAUUAAUAUUGGAUGCAGCAGGAGACUUAAGUUCCCCGUGUACACUCAAGACUGACCCUGAGACCAACACAGUACAGUACAUGAAUAUGUAACCUGUAAUAACGUGCUCUUCAUCAGGCUCUGUCUCAGCAAACCAGUCACCACCUCAAGCUCCUGCUCGGCCUCCCGAACGUUUGGGUCCAGCUGGAGGACUUCCUGCAGAGAUAUUGUUCUCCACUCAAUGCCCGAGGAACACAGGUGCUGGACAGAGAGUGGGACGGCUGGAAUCUCUGGAAGCUUUUCUCUCCACUCAGGCCCGUCCUGCUCGAUCAGCAUCUUAGUGAUUCUGAAGAAAGAAGAGACAAAGAGCACAAAACGUGAGGAUGUGAGUCUCCGAGGAGUUUCAAAGGUAACAGGCGGCUCUGUUGGAGUAGAGAAUACACAGGUCUUCUGGACUAUCAGUGCCUGCAGGGGAACAAUAACCACUCAUCUGAAAGACCAGACACUGGAACAACACUCACGUCAUCUUUGAACUAUGUAUAAAAUAUUUAAUUUGACACUCGCCCCACAGUGUUGUCAGUGAUCUGCAGACGAAAGUGAAAUCAAGACACCACAACACAGUCAGUUCAAUUUAAAGUCAUCAGCCUGAGCGGAGAUGCUGAGACGGAGGACGGUGGACAGAUGAAUGAAUGUGUCCUUCGGGGCAGAGUGAUUUCCUCCCCUGUCCUUUCUCUGCCGAACCUCUUCUGCACUUUCACAACCUCUAGCAGAGCAUCAGUCACGAUACAUUGCUUCAGAGCCUGCAAAACUAAUGUCAGCACACAGUGCACUUAUGCCUGUAGAAUUCUAAUCAAUCUAAGAUAGAUUUUUCAAAAGAACAUCAUCACACAUGUUUGCCAAUCGGUCUCAAAGAUUGGUAAUAAGUCUGCCUCCUGUCAGUGCUGCUGAACAAUCUGAUGACUCUUACCAGCUAUGAGAUUCAAAGUUGGCCAUGUGAUGUUAAGUUAUAUGCAUUCAGGUUUUAGACAAACCCUUUUUUAUAUAUAUUCUGACAUUUUAUGAACUAAAACACUAAUUUAAUUCAUUUAUUACUUUGAUUUGAGCUUUCUUGUGACCAUAAACUGUUAUUUACACUGGUAAUGUCAAUAUGUUGUUUACACUUUAUAGUCCUAUUGUAUAAUUUUCUUUUUUCUGUCAUGUAAAAUAUCAAUCAACAUUUGCCUUUGAAUGAAACUCUGUGAUGUUGACUCUAGGAAAACAACCACAUUGUUCAUAUUUUCCUCACCUGCUGCCACACAACCAUCAAUAGCCUGAGUGUAUUUUUCCAAAGCAUCUCCAAACUGUCCGUGUUUGAAGAGAUGGUUUCCCUCGUUCUUGAGGCGAGCCAGGUGAGGAGGAAGGGCCCCAGCAGGAG